rnacentral:rRNA from 1 species
UACGGGGGGGGCAAGCGUUUGUUCGGAAUUACUGGGCGUAAAGGGCUCGUAGGCGGCCAACUAAGUCGGAUGUGAAAUCCCCAAGCUUAGCUUGGGAACUGCAUCCGAUACUGGAUGGCUUGAAUCCGGGAGAGGGAUGCAGAAUUCCAGGUGUAGCGGUGAAAUGCGUAGAUAUCUGGAGGAAUACCGGUGGCGAAGGCGGCAUCCUGGACCGGCAUUGACGCUGAGGAGCGAAAAGCUAGGGGAGCAAACGGGG